rnacentral:rRNA from 1 species
UACGUAGGGUGCGAGCGUUGUCCGGAAUUACUGGGCGUAAAGAGCACGUAGGCGGAUUGUUAAGUCAGGGGUGAAAUCCUGGAGCUCAACUCCAGAACUGCCUUUGAUACUGGCGAUCUUGAGUCCGGGAGAGGUGAGUGGAACUGCGAGUGUAGAGGUGAAAUUCGUAGAUAUUCGCAAGAACACCAGUGGCGAAGGCGGCUCACUGGCCCGGUACUGACGCUGAGGUGCGAAAGCGUGGGGAGCAAACAGG